UACUAAUAUUAAAGGCAACGCCUGCCCAGUGAACAAUUAAACGGCCGCGGUACCCUAACCGUGCAAAGGUAGCAUAAUCAUUUGUCUAUUAACUGUAGACCUGUAUGAAAGGCAAAAUGAGGAUUUAACUGUCUCUUGCAAUAAAUCUAUUAAACUGAUCUCCCAGUAAAAAAGCUGGGAUACCACCAUAAGACCAGAAGACCCUGUGAAGCUUUAACUAUACUAUUAAACCCAAUAAUAACUAAUUUAGGUUGGGGCGACCUUGGAAAUAAAAAGAACUUCCAAAUACAACACACUAUACAGGCCCACAUGCCAACAAAUGACCCAGUAAACUGACAAUUGAACAAAGUUACUCCAGGGAUAACAGCGCUAUCUUCUUCAAGAGCCCAUAUCAAAAAGAAGGUUUACGACCUCGAUGUUGGAUCAGGACAUCCUAAUGGUGCAACCGCUAUUAAGGGUUCGUUUGUUCAACGAUUAAUGUCCU
rnacentral:rRNA from 1 species